rnacentral:lncRNA from 1 species
UGAGACAGGACCUGGGCUCAGUUAGGGCCCGGUGAGGGGCUGCCCUGGGGGGACUGAGGAAGCCCCACCCUGAUGGCAUCCAGAAUAAUCCAGGUCUGCCUCUGCUGCCCUUCUGUGCCCCAGGACAUUAUUCUCAGGAGUUCCAGGAGCCAGGUGGUGAAGUUCUUCCUGUGAGGCAGUGUCCCUAGGUCACACAAUAGAGGAGGCCCAAGAGUCAAGGUCAUCGUGAUGCCCCACGGCAGAAGAGCCAAGACAGAAAGCUAGGGGGAGUCCAUCCUGCCCAAAGAAGCACAGUCAUCAUGAGUGUGCCAGUUCUCAAGGAUGUGGAGGAGGAAGCAGCAGCCACUGCUUCCUCUGCAUGUUCUACCUCCUAUUCUAUAAUCAGUCCCACACCAAAACAAGAGCUAGAGCUUUGGAUACUAAGUUAUCUUCAAAGUUGUGAGGGCAUCCUCUCUCCCCCGACUGCCAUGGCUUCUACACCAGGUCUUGUAGUAGCAAAAUGACAGGCAAGUGUGGGUUACUGUCUUGAGCUUCUGGAAUUAACCAUGGAAAACAACAAAAGAGGAAGAGAAAGAGAGAGAAGACCUAGCAAACACACAGAAGCAACAAACAUGUAAACAUAACAUGUAAGUAAAAAUAUGUAAGUAAACAACAAAGCAUGAGGACGCCCUGGGGGAGA